CCUGCCCAAGAGAUCGGGAUAACACCUGGAAACAGAUGCUAAUACCGGAUAACAACAGAUGAUGCCUAUCAACUGUUUAAAAGAUGGUUCUGCUAUCACUCUUGGAUGGACCUGCGGUGCAUUAGCUAGUUGGUAGGGUAACGGCCUACCAAGGCAUGAUGCAUAGCCGAGUUGAGAGACUGAUCGGCCACAUUGGGACUGAGACACGGCCCAAACUCCUACGGGAGGCAGCAGCU
rnacentral:rRNA from 1 species